UACGUAGGUGGCAAGCGUUGUCCGGAUUUACUGGGCGUAAAGAGCGCGCAGGCGGUCGUUCAAGUCGAGUGUGAAAGCCCCCGGCUCAACUGGGGAGGGUCACUCGAUACUGAUCGACUUGAAGGCAGGAGAGGGAAGCGGAAUUCCCGGUGUAGUGGUGAAAUGCGUAGAUAUCGGGAGGAACACCAGUGGCGAAGGCGGCUUCCUGGCCUGCUCUUGACGCUGAGGCGCGAAAGCUAGGGGAGCAAACAGG
rnacentral:rRNA from 1 species